rnacentral:rRNA from 1 species
AAUAAGUAACCUGGCCUUUCAGGGGAUAACUGUUGGAAACGAUAGCUAAGACCGCAUAGGUGUGAUAACCGCAUGGAGAUGACAUGAAAUAUGCUACGGCAUAGGUAGAGGAUGGACUUAUGGCGCAUUAGCUAGUUGGAGGGGUAACGGCCCACCAAGGCGACGAUGCGUAGCCGACCUGAGAGGGUGACCGGCCACACUGGGACUGAGACACGGCCCAG